GCCAGCAGCUCGCUCUCCUCAACUCUCACAUGGUCGCCCACUGAAGGUAAGCAGGGUUGAGCCGGGUCAGUGUCUGGAUGGGAGAGCACAGGGGAACACUCGGCUGCUGUUGGCA
rnacentral:rRNA from 1 species